CCUACUUCUGAAAUGAGAAUGAUAUACUUUCGACGCCAUAAAUGACAGAUAGGUUUUUUUGGGUGCAAGAGAUAUGGCAAGGAGUAGAAGAAGGCGUAUUGUUCAGAGCAAUGAGGAAUAUUUGUCAGAGGAACAGACUGAAGAAGAAAAUACCCUUCCAUAGCUUGCCACACCAUCUGAACAAGAAACUGUAUGUGAUGAUUUUGGAGAAGGCAAUGAAGACACUGAUGACGAUUUUGAUAUCAAUGAUGGAGAAAGCAAUGAAGACACUAAUGACGAUGUUGAUAUUGAUGAUGAAAGCAAUGAAGAUACUGAUGUUGAUAUUAAUGUUCGAGUUGAAAAUGGAGCACCUGAAACACGUGGCAAGA